GGCUUUGAUGCUGGAAAACCUACAGAGGUCAUCAUCUUCUCACAGUGGGCUGCAGCCUAAUUCAUAGAUAGGAGAAGAGAUGUGUCAGAACAGUUUCAUUAAACAGUACCUGGCCCAGCAGCAAGAGCUCCUACGACAGAGACUUGCGAGAGAGGCCCAGCGGGAGGAGGAGGCCGAUGAAAGCCCAGCUGGAGCAGAGGAAGAUGAAGA